UGUGAACGAACAUUCGUCUUUCUAUUUUUUUGGGCUUUUUCUAACCCAUAAAUUUCUUUUGAGUCAACCAAAUAGUCCCAGCUUGCAACUUAUGCUGUGUGGUAUUAUUGUCUGAAAAAUUAAGUAUGCAUGUAUAUUUUAUGUGUGUGCCCGUGCACACCUCUGCAUGAUGUUAAUCUCUGUGGGUCAUCUAUAUAUAUAUGUAGACAUAUCUGUGUGUGUGUGUGGAAUGCAACAUAUUGGAUUUAGGUUAUACUGUGCAUAGUUUUAUUGUCUGUUUUUAUCUGCGCUAUACCAUUUCUAUGCAGGCUCUGAAAGUUAUUCAUGAGAUUUAUAAGCAUUUUCCAUAAUUUAAGCUGUCUGUUUUGGGUUCUUUUUCAUUAGGUCAUUAGCUACUGAAUGAUGGAGAAAUGAGUACCAUGCCACUGAUUUUGGGUUCUUUUAAUAAUUUUCUGAUUUUGGCGUUUUGCAGGUAGUGUUGAUGUACUGAUUUUCUGGGAUUUUUUUGUCCUUGCAGGAUUUUUGGUCUUUGAAAUGGGUACAUGUUGUUUUUAACGUUUUGGUUCUCGUGUGUUCCGCUCUUCGUUGCUUCGUGAUUCUGAUUUUUCAGUGUUGGGUAAUGGAAAUUUGUAAAAAUAGUCGUAGUUUUUUGAGAAAGUUGGCAUUUUUAGUUAUAUUUUCUGUUUAAUCCCAACUGUGAGAUUGGAAAAUAAUUGAAAUGAUGGUUUUGUAUAAAAACACCUCUCAAUUUUUUUUCUGGGAUUUAAAAGCAUCUUUUCCCGAUUGUUUACAAGGGUUAUGUUCUCUAUAAUUGGUUCACCUAAUUUUGAUUAGUUUUAAGUUUUGUCCUUUAAGUUUUGUCUUCUGUGCUGUACUGAGAGAUUUCUGUUGGCCUUUCGGAUUUCGGCAUGGUCUCCACCCCACAUUUCACAAGUUCAAAUUCCAUAGAAGUCGGUUCUGCAGAUUGUGUCUGCAAUUAGAUCAGAGAUCAACUGCUCUUUUGUUAUCAUGCGGAAGAUUGCUUUUGGGAAGGAUCUGAAGCAGUUCCUCUCUGGAUAGGAGAAACAAAGAGGAUAACACUUAUAAUUGCCCCUCCCCAUCGGCCUUCUUUAAAUUUGGAUCACAAGAAGGGAGCAACAUAGGUAUUGAUCAUGGUGUUUCCUUGUUAAUUUGGAAAUGGUUAAUGUAAAUAAUUGGACAAAAGAGCCAAACAAACCCUUUUCUCUCAAAUCGAGAUGAUGAUGUGGUCGACGGCCACCAGCCCCAACUCAAGAGUUUGGCCUUCUGUAUAAUCGGAUUAUAGGAUAAUUUUAUUUUAGUCCAUUUCUUUUUUUCCUUUAUAUAAGUGCAGAUGUUGUGAUGUU